UACGGGGGGGCAAGCGCUGUUCGGAAUUACUGGGCGUAAAGGGCUCGUAGGUGGCCAACUAAGUCAGACGUGAAAUCCCUCGGCUUAACCGGGGAACUGCGUCUGAUACUGGAUGGCUUGAGAUUGGGAGAGGGACGCGGAAUUCCAGGUGUAGCGGUGAAAUGCGUAGAUAUCAGGAAGAACACCCGUGGCGAAGGCGGCUCUCUGGGACGGUACUGACGCUGAGGCACGAAGGUCAGGGGAGCAAACGGG
rnacentral:rRNA from 1 species